GUGUGAAUCCCAGGGCGCUUCUCCAUUGGCACGGCGGCAUGCAUGCACGGAAGCUCCAUGCACGGAAGCUACCUAGCUAGCCAUGCUGUGCGUGCCAAAGGAGAAUUGCCCUGCGAUUCACCU
rfam:Triticum aestivum genome assembly, contig: Triticum_aestivum_CS42_TGACv1_scaffold_062500_1DL